UACGUAGGUGACAAGCGUUGUCCGGAUUUACUGGGCGUAAAGAGCGCGCAGGCGGUCGAUCAAGUCGAGUGUGAAAGCCCCCGGCUCAACUAGGGAGAGUCAUUCGAUACUGUUCGACUCGAAGGCAGGAGAGGGAAGUGGAAUUCCGGGUGUAGUGGUGAAAUGCGUAGAGAUCGGGAGGAACAUCUGUGGCGAAGGCGGCCAUCUGGACCAGCACUGACACUGAGGCACGAAAGCGUGGGGAGCAAACAGG
rnacentral:rRNA from 1 species